CGACGUGAGGAACCUGCCUUUCAGAGGGGACAACAGUUGGAAACGACUGCUAAUACCGCAUGACACAUAGAGAUCGCAUGGUUUUUAUGUCAAAGAUUUAUCGCUGAAAGAUGGCCUCGCGUCUGAUUAGCUAGUUGGUGAGGUAACGGCCCACCAAGGCGACGAUCAGUAGCCGGACUGAGAGGUUGACCGGCCACAUUGGGACUGAGAUACGGCCCAG
rnacentral:rRNA from 1 species